rnacentral:rRNA from 1 species
AUUGAACGCUGGCGGCAGGCCUAACACAUGCAAGUCGAGCGGCAGCGGGAAAGUAGCUUGCUACUUUUGCCGGCGAGCGGCGGACGGGUGAGUAAUGCCUGGGAAAUUGCCCAGGCGAGGGGGAUAACAGUUGGAAACGACUGCUAAUACCGCAUACGCCCUACGGGGGAAAGCAGGGGACCUUCGGGCCUUGCGCGAUUGGAUAUGCCCAGGUGGGAUUAGCUAGUUGGGGAGGUAAUGGCUCACCAAGGCGACGAUCCCUAGCUGGUCUGAGAGGAUGAUCAGCCACACAGGAACUGAGACACGGUCCAGACUCCUACGGGAGGCAGCAGUGGGGAAUAUUGCACAAUGGGGGAAACCCUGAUGCAGCCAUGCCGCGUGUGUGAAGAAGGCCUUCGGGUUGUAAAGCACUUUCAGCGAGGAGGAAAGGUUGAUGCCUAAUACGUAUCAACUGUGACGUUACUCGCAGAAGAAGCACCGGCUAACUCCGUGCCAGCCGCCGCGGUAACAC